UACGUAGGUGGCAAGCGUUGUCCGGAUUUACUGGGCGUAAAGAGCGCGCAGGCGGUUGGAUAAGUCGAAUGUGAAAGCCCCCGGCUUAACUGGGGAGGGUCAUUCGAUACUGUUCAACUUGAAGGCAGGAGAGGGCAGCAGAAUUCCCGGUGUAGCGGUGAAAUGCGCAGAUAUCAGGAGGAACACCGGUGGCGAAGGCGGGUCUCUGGGCCGAUACUGACGCUGAGGAGCGAAAGCGUGGGGAGCGAACAGG
rnacentral:rRNA from 1 species